GAAUUGAAGAGUUUGAUCAUGGCUCAGAUUGAACGCUGGCGGCAGGCUUAACACAUGCAAGUCGAACGGUAGCACAUAGGAGUUUGCUCCUUGGGUGACGAGUGGCGGACGGGUGAGUAAUGCUUGGGAAUCUGGCUUAUGGAGGGGGAUAACUACUGGAAACGGUAGCUAAUACCGCGUAAUGUCUUAGGACUAAAGGGUGGGACCAUUUGGCCACCUGCCAUAAGAUGAGCCCAAGUGGGAUUAGGUAGUUGGUGAGGUAAAGGCUCACCAAGCCCGCGAUCUCUAGCUGGUCUGAGAGGAUGACCAGCCACACUGGAACUGAGACACGGUCCAGACUCCUACGGGAGGCAGCAGUGGGGAAUAUUGCACAAUGGGGGGAACCCUGAUGCAGCCAUGCCGCGUGAAUGAAGAAGGCCUUCGGGUUGUAAAGUUCUUUCGGUGACGAGGAAGGCGAUUGUUUUAAUAGAACAGUCGAUUGACGUUAAUCACAGAAGAAGCACCGGCUAACUCCGUGCCAGCAGCCGCGGUAAUACGGGGGGUGCGAGCGUUAAUCGGAAUAACUGGGCGUAAAGGGCACGCAGGCGGUUGUUUAAGUGAGGUGUGAAAGCCCCGGGCUUAACCUGGGAAUUGCAUUUCAGACUGGACAAC
rnacentral:rRNA from 1 species